UAGAUAUAUAUGUAUAUAUGUACACACACACACACACACACAUACAUAUAUAUGUGUAUGCGCAUAUAUAUAUUUGCACAUACAGUUAGCGGCGCUAAUCUUUCGAAAUGUUUCUUGCAGCGAGCGGUCCGCCGGAAGACGUUUCCCCCACCAGCCCGAGCAGCGUCUCAGCAGUCAAUGGUGAUAAAAUAAGUAAGACCUUUCCCAUUUGAAGUGUGCCAAUUGAAAGUAUGUUACAUGGACCGGCCAAAGGUAUAAUUUGUAUUUGUAUUGUAUUUAACGUGAUUUCUGAUGAUGGCGAAAACCAACUGUUGUUUUACGAAACUGCGCUAUCAAACAGCUGCGUGACCUCCCGCAUGCGUCGCAUGGUCGCGUUCCUUCCCUCUCUCUUGGGUUUGGGCCCAGAAUGGCGUCAGGGGAAUUUUCAAACGAGGUUCAACAGUGUAAAAAAGUUGAAAGUAAUAAUACAUUUUUUUUUUUUUUUUUUUUUACGGAAUGACACUCUUUGCUGAGGUUGAGGAAUUCACACGGUCCCCAUGUCGUACUUUUUUUUUUUUGAGGGUGUUGUUUGGGCAGACAAGUAUUGACAGAGUAGUAUUUUCCGUUCAUUAUUCCCGAGGUAAGAGAAUGUGAUCGGGAUUUUGUGUGUGUGAAAAUCGCCCAGUGUUUGCGAUGUUUGACGCCUUCGUCUCUGGAAAGGGCCGAACCAGCCCUCCAGCAUUUAAGAACUUUCAAGUCUGUCGGCAUUGUAAGAUCGACAGCUAUUUCCCUGUAAAUUUACAAUUUUCACCCAGAUUUCAGAUUUUCAGGUUCUGCGCCUCCAAUGAGCAAAGUCUUUAGAUUUUGGCAAGGUUUGAUUCCCGAUCACAGCCAGAAGAAAUCUAUCCUCCCCGUCCAGGUAGGCGAGGGAUGUAUAUCUCUGUAAGUCGCGACGUUGAUCUUAUUGAAUUUACUUCGAACUGCUAUUGACAUAAAAUGAACUGCAUUCUGAUUUACUAAUUUUCUCAUAGGCCUACCCUACUAACAUCAAAUUUCAGGAGAGAUUUGUUUCAGGUUCUCAUUCGCCAGCACCUCCUAGGCUCUUAGCUACCUUGACUCCCAAAUCUGCGCUGAGUUACACUUGCUGUAUGAAUCCCAACUCCCGUGUCAGUGAGGACUGAGACGAUAUCCUGGCGGGCCUGGACGAAGACAGGUGCAGAAUGCAGUCGCCGGCACAGGCAGCAGCGCAUGGCCAUCCCGCACAGGACAGUCACGGGGCGGGAAGUCCUGUGUGUGAAAGGCUCGGGAACGGAGAGCCUGUCAGGCACCAUCACGUGACGUCACAAAUAGAUGUCCCCGAGAUGGUUACCACACGUGGACGACUCCACACACUAUUCGCCCGUGCGAUGUCCUUGCCGACUGGCUUUAUUACGAACAUCUGGAGAGUUUUUUUUUCCACUCAUCGGCCAAAGGUUGUUUCGAGGUGACUGGAAUCUGCGACACAACGAAGGUUCCCGCCACCUCCUCGUGACCGUGGUCGUGGAGUUUUUUUUCCCUGUCCAGCGGCCAGAUCGGCACUGACAUGAGCCUUUGCCAUGCUUACUUAAUUACGAUGCAUAUCUCAUCUGUUAUAUACGCUGCCAUAUCGUCACGUAUCAAUGAUGGAUCAUUCGCCAUCAGGCUUUAAGCAACUGACAAUAAAUGUCGAAUUUAC